rnacentral:lncRNA from 1 species
AUAAGAGCGGCAAAAAAGGAUAUUUUGGAAGAACUGAGAGUGGCACAGACUUCGGGCCAGUCAAGAGAGGAACAAUGCAGAGCCCAAGCACAUGACCACAGAACAUUAAAGACAUUCCCAGAAGCAAGUUGAAAGGAAGAUUUUGCGGCAUCCCUACUUCUCAGCAGUAGAGGUAUAAUUUUUAGUUCUGAGAGUCCCCCCUUACAGGCUUUUCUGAAGUUGUAUUUUCUUCCAAAAUAUGAAAAAUU